rnacentral:tmRNA from 1 species
GGGCUUGACUGGAUUUGACAGCGGGUAGAGAUGGUAAGUAAGCAUGCAGUGCGUCAGUGAUUUGCACUUAAAUCUCAGUUACUGAAAUUUUAUCUGGCAACAAUAAUUAUGCUCUUGCUGCUUAAUCGAAUCAUAGUAGAUUAGCUUAAUCCCGACACAAGGUGUUGGGACGGGACAUCACUCGGAAGUUCUUGCUCCGAAACAUUCCGGUUCAGUGGUGCAGUUAAAUCGGAGAUAGUCUGCGGCGGCCUCGCGCCGGAGAUGAAGAUUUAGAGGAUAAGGUUUGGAUUGAUGGCUUUGGUUCUGUCCAUACACGAAAACGAAGACAAAGAUAAGCAUGUAGAAAGUUUAUGGUUUCCUCGUUUGGACGAGGGUUCGACUCCCUCCAGGUCCACAG